rnacentral:lncRNA from 1 species
AAUAAAAGAGCGAGCCCCGGAGUUACAACAAUUCGUAAGCAUCGACUAUGAUAAAACAUAGACAAGAGAAAGGUUCUAAAUUAAAUAAAACUUGUAUCAUCAAGGUAAAAUAUUUCCAUUAAACAUCAAAUAUUGUUACACACAUGGCAUAAAAUCUUGGGAAGCAUUGGAAAAAAUAAAAUAAUACAAAGAAAAAGAAAAUUAAGCCAAAGAUUCUAGAGUCGUGGAAUCGGG